UAUAAAUGUCUUUAACUGUCUAUGGUGCCGUGACCGCUAGCCAUAGCUAGCUAACCGUAAGCUAACGUUAGCAAGUUGGGACAUGAUUUCCAAAACUGUGUCUAGCUUUUAGCUCUUGGUGUCGAAUUUACAAUGUUAGCAUAUUGCCAAAAUUGGUAGUUUAAAAGUUAAGUGAGUCCUGUAAGACGCAGUAACAAAACAUUUUCAACAAGAGUAAUUCACAUGCCAGAUAGCGAGAUGUGCUCAAAUUGCUUCAGAAAAACAGGCAGGUGGGAGUUGACGUCAAGAUGAACCUGUCAGAAGGGACUGUGGAUUUCUCAGUCAAGAGGGAAAAAUGACUUUGCAUCUGAGUAGUCUCUACUUUUCCAUGCUGGCAUUGGAGUCUUCAGUUAUUCCAGUUCAGGUAUGAAUCAAACUGCAAUCAAGCUUUGACCUGAGUGGGUCUGGAGAUGUGAGGUGUCCAACAACCAACAUAAGAGUUAAGGAAAGGGUUGGUUGUCACUAAUUCAAAUUCUGAAUAAUAUCUGUCAAAAUGAAUGAAAAUAUGAGGUGAACUUGACCUUUCUGUCAGCGUCCAAAUUAGAUUCUGAAGGUUUACAGUGUGCAAAGUCAUUUCUGCCUGUUUCAUCCGGCAGUCUACAGUAG